rnacentral:rRNA from 1 species
CACGUAGGGCGCAAGCGUUGUCCGGAAUUAUUGGGCGUAAAGAGCUCGUAGGCGGUCUGUUACGUCUGCUGUGAAAACCCGGGGCUUAACCCUGGGCUUGCAGUGGAUACGGGCAGACUAGAGGCAGGUAGGGGAGAAUGGAAUUCCCGGUGUAGCGGUGAAAUGCGCAGAUAUCAGGAGGAACACCGGUGGCGAAGGCGACUACCUGGCCUGUUCUUGACGCUGAGGCGCGAAAGCUAGGGGGAGCAAACGGG